UCCAGACUCCUACGGGAGGCAGCAGUGGGGAAUAUUGGGCAAUGGGCGCAAGCCUGACCCAGCAACGCCGCGUGAAGGAAGAAGGCUUUCGGGUUGUAAACUUCUUUUAAGGGGGAAGAGGAGAAGACGGUACCCCUUGAAUAAGCCACGGCUAACUACGUGCCAGCAGCCGCGGUAAUACGUAGGUGGCAAGCGUUGUCCGGAUUUACUGGGUGUAAAGGGCGUGCAGCCGGGAGGACAAGUCAGAUGUGAAAUCCCGCGGCUCAACCGCGGAACUGCAUUUGAAACUGUUUUUCUUGAGUACCGGAGAGGUCGUCGGAAUUCCUUGUGUAGCGGUGAAAUGCGUAGAUAUAAGGAAGAACACCAGUGGCGAAGGCGGAGGACUGGACGGCAACUGACGGUGAGGCGCGAAAGCGUGGGGAGCAAACAGGAUUAGAUACCCCAGUAACG
rnacentral:rRNA from 1 species